GGGCGAUUAGCUCAGUUGGUUAGAGCGCUUGCUCGACACGCAAGAGGUCACUGGUUCGAAUCCAGUAUUGCCCACCA
rnacentral:tRNA from 1 species